rnacentral:misc_RNA from 1 species
AUGAGAGAGAGAGAGAGAGAGGGGCAACUCGGCAACCAGAGGCUUGACGGCGACAAGAUUGGGCUGCCCGUGCCCGGCACGAGGAUGAUAAGAGCUCAUGUCGUUUUCUGCUACCCGGCCGAAAUAGAAAAAAGUCGGGCAGACGAAGGGACGAGACUCUCUUCUUCCUGUUUCGGUCUUGGGACAAGUCUCGCGUUCCGGACGGCACGCGCGGUCAGGUACGUGUCUGCUCUGC